rnacentral:misc_RNA from 1 species
GAUGAAGAACGUAGCGAAAUGCGAUAAGUAAUGUGAAUUGCAGAAUUCAGUGAAUCAUCGAAUCUUUGAACGCACAUUGCGCCCCCGGGUAUUCCGGGGGGCAUGCCUGUCCGAGCGUCAUUACAACCCUCAAGCUCAGCUUGGUGUUGGGCCCCGCCGCCCCGGCGGGCCCUAAAGUCAGUGGCGGUGCCGUCCGGCUCCGAGCGUAGUAAUUCUUCUCGCUCUGGAGGUCCGGUCGUGUGCUCGCCAGCAACCCCCAAUUUUUUUCAGGUUGACCUCGGAUCAGGUAGGGAUACCCGCUGAACUUAAGCAUAUCAAUAAGCGGAGGA